GGCAAGAGGGAAGCUCGAGAACAGGUUUUGCUGAGGAUUCCCCCCAAGAAAAGUGCUCCCCGGGAGGCCGUUCCUGGCACCAAGACUGGCGGAGCCACCACACCCGUUAAAGGGAUCCACCUGGACAGCGAUCAGGCGUGAGCCCCCCGAGGGGAAGUUGAAGUGGAAGCAGACGUCACCUGGGAUGCGUGCGGCCCUGUGGGAGGAAACUUCCUGGGAGCACCUCCAAGGAUCACGUAGGACCAGCAGAAGCAGCGUAAAGUAUUGGAACUUUGAAUCUGACAUCAGAAAGACCUGCACUCAGCCGGGCACGGUGGCUCACGAUUGUAAUCCCAGGCCGAGGCGGUGGAUCACUUGAGGUUCACUGAUUCUAGGUAAAUCAGAGGAACAAGCAACAUGAACAGAAAAAAUGUAGAAAAUGCAAUUAUGCUGAAGUACAAUUGUUGUUUCAGAAGUCCAGCAUCUGGUGUACUUAACAAUAGAGAAUAUAUUAAAUUUUUCCAAAAUAAAAAAAACAAG
rnacentral:lncRNA from 1 species